rnacentral:rRNA from 1 species
CAGUAGCCGCGGUAAUACGGAGGGUGCUAGCGUUGUUCGGAAUCACUGGGCGUAAAGGGCGCGUAGGCGGCCUGUUAAGUCGGAUGUGAAUGCCCGGGGCUCAACCCCGGAACUGCAUCCGAGACUGGCAGGCUUGAGACCGGGAGAGGAGGGUGGAAUAUCCAGUGUAGAGGUGAAAUUCGUAGAUAUUGGAUGGAACACCGGUGGCGAAAGCGGCUCUCUGGCCCGGAUCUGACGCUGAGGCGCGAAAGCGUGGGGAGCAAACAGGAUUAGAUACCCGUGUAGUCCCUGUCUCUUAUAC